AGAUGCAACUCAUUAAACAUUGAUAGCGACAAUGAUGAGUGGCAAGGAUCUGAUGAUUAUGGCGAUAAUGAACCUGGAAUGACAGAAGAGGAUGAUGACUCUGUUGUUGAAUCACCACUACAUGAUGAUGUUAGACCUGGUUUUGAUCGUAGCAGGGAAGAUGAAUUGCAAGAGUAUGACGAGGAUAUUGUUGAUGAAAGAUUUGAUGAUAAUGAAAGUGGG
rnacentral:misc_RNA from 1 species